rnacentral:rRNA from 1 species
CGGACGGGUGAGUAACACGUGGAUAACCUACCUAUAAGACUGGGAUAACUUCGGGAAACCGGAGCUAAUACCGGAUAAUAUAUUGAACCGCAUGGUUCAAUAGUGAAAGACGGUUUUGCUGUCACUUAUAGAUGGAUCCGCGCCGCAUUAGCUAGUUGGUAAGGUAACGGCUUACCGAGGCGACGAUGCGUAGCCGACCUGAGAGGGUGAUCGGCCACACUGGAACUGAGACACGGUCCAG